rnacentral:tmRNA from 1 species
GGGGGCGAUUAGGAUUCGACGCCGGUGUCAAAACCCAAGGUGCAUGUCGUGAUGGUAGCGAAUCACGUUAAUCCAAAGCUGCAUACUAUUAGUUGCCAAUGAUGACAACUAUGGUGCACAACUAGCCGCGUAAGCAGCUUUUUGAGGCAUCAUCUAGCGACAUAGUUCGCUAGCAGGCUUUAGCAAGGUGCCAGUAUCGCGCUACUGACUGUCAUAUAGAACUGGAUCGCUACAUCCGCAUGUCUGGAGUGGAUGAGCUAAAAUUCACAGAAUCGCUGAUUACGUCUUGCCCGUUGGGCUGUAAUUGGUUAAAUCAAUUAACGGAUCUAAACAUGUAGAGCCGCGGGCAGAGAGCUGGCGGACGGGGGUUCAAAUCCCCCCGCCUCCACCA